UACGUAGGGGGCAAGCGUUGUCCGGAAUCAUUGGGCGUAAAGAGCGUGUAGGCGGUCCGGUAAGUCGGUUGUGAAAGUCCAGGGCUCAACCCUGGGAUGCCGACCGAUACUGUCGGACUAGAGUUCGGAAGAGGCGAGUGGAAUUCCCGGUGUAGCGGUGAAAUGCGCAGAUAUCUGGAGGAACACCGGUGGCGAAGGCGGCAUCCUGGACCAACACUGACGCUGAGGAGCGAAAGCGUGGGGAGCAAACAGG
rnacentral:rRNA from 1 species